rnacentral:rRNA from 1 species
CCUACGGGUGGCAGCAGUGAGGAAUAUUGGUCAAUGGCCGAGAGGCUGAACCAGCCAAGUCGCGUGAGGGAAGAAUGUCCUAUGGAUUGUAAACCUCUUUUGUCAGGGAGCAAAGUCACCCACGUGUGGGUGUUGGAGAGUACCUGAAGAAAAAGCAUCGGCUAACUCCGUGCCAGCAGCCGCGGUAAUACGGAGGAUGCGAGCGUUAUCCGGAUUUACUGGGUGUAAAGGGCGUGCAGCCGGGAAGACAAGUCAGAUGUGAAAUCCCGCGGCUCAACCGCGGAACUGCAUUUGAAACUGUUGUUCUUGAGUACCGGAGAGGUCAUCGGAAUUCCUUGUGUAGCGGUGAAAUGCGUAGAUAUAAGGAAGAACACCAGUGGCGAAGGCGGAUGACUGGACGGCAACUGACGGUGAGGCGCGAAAGCGUGGGGAGCAAACAGGAUUAGAUACCCGAGUAGUC